ACGCUCGACAGUGCCAGCCGCCGCGGUAAUACAGAGGGUGCGAGCGUUAAUCGGAUUUACUGGGCGUAAAGCGUAGCGUAGGCGGCUUUUUAAGUCGGAUGUGAAACUCCCCGAGCUUAACUUGGGAAUUGCAUUCGAUACUGGGAAGCUAGAGUAUGGGAGAGGAUGGUAGAAGUUCCAGGUGUAGCGGUGAAAUGCGUAGAAGAUCUGGAGGAAUACCGAUGGCGAAGGCAGCCAUCUGGCCUAAUACUGACGCUGAGGUACGAAAGCAUGGGGAGCAAACAGGAUUAGAUACCCUGGUAGUCCAUGACCGUAAACGAUGUCGUACUAG
rnacentral:rRNA from 1 species